rnacentral:ncRNA from 3 species
UAAGGUGCAUCUAGUGCAG